rnacentral:rRNA from 1 species
GACGAACGCUGGCGGCGUGCCUAAUACAUGCAAGUAGAACGCUGAAGAGAGGAGCUUGCUCUUCUUGGAUGAGUUGCGAACGGGUGAGUAACGCGUAGGUAACCUGCCUUGUAGCGGGGGAUAACUAUUGGAAACGAUAGCUAAUACCGCAUAACAAUGGAUGACACAUGUCAUUUAUUUGAAAGGGGCAAUUGCUCCACUACAAGAUGGACCUGCGUUGUAUUAGCUAGUAGGUGAGGUAAUGGCUCACCUAGGCGACGAUACAUAGCCGAUCUGAGAGGGUGAUCGGCCACACUGGGACUGAGACACGGCCCAGACUCCUACGGGAGGCAACAGUAGGGAAUCUUCGGCAAUGGGGGCAACCCUGACCGAGCAACGCCGCGUGAGUGAAGAAGGUUUUCGGAUCGUAAAGCUCUGUUGUAAGUCAAGAACGGGUGUGAGAGUGGAAAGUUCACACUGUGACGGUAGCUUACCAGAAAGGGACGGCUAACUACGUG